CGUCGACCGGCGCACGGGUGAGUAACGCGUAUCCAACCUGCCCUUUACUUGGGGAUAACCCGUUGAAAGACGGACUAAUACCCAAUGAUAUUCAUUGAUGACAUCUGAUUUGAAUUAAAGAUUUAUCGGUAUAGGAUGGGGAUGCGUCUGAUUAGCUUGUUGGCGGGGCGACGGCCCACCAAGGCGACGAUCAGUAGGGGUUCUGAGAGGAAGGUCCCCCACAUUGGAACUGAGACACGGUCCAAACUCCUACGGGAGCAGCAGGC
rnacentral:rRNA from 1 species